rnacentral:rRNA from 1 species
UACGGGAGGCAGCAGUGGGGAAUAUUGCACAAUGGGCGCAAGCCUGAUGCAGCCAUGCCGCGUGUAUGAAGAAGGCCUUCGGGUUGUAAAGUACUUUCAGUCGUGAGGAAGGUGUUAAGGUUAAUAACCUUAGCAAUUGACGUUAGCGACAGAAGAAGCACCGGCUAACUCCGUGCCAGCAGCCGCGGUAAUACGGAGGGUGCGAGCGUUAAUCGGAAUUACUGGGCGUAAAGGGCACGCAGGCGGUUAAUUAAGUUGGAUGUGAAAUCCCCGGGCUUAACCUGGGAAUGGCAUUCAAGACUGGUUAGCUAGAGUCUUGUAGAGGGGGUUAGAAUUCCAUGUGUAGCGGUGAAAUGCGUAGAGAUGUGGAGGAAUACCGGUGGCGAAGGCGGCCCCUGGACAAAGACUGACGCUCAUGUGCGAAAGCUGGGGAGCAAAC